rnacentral:rRNA from 1 species
CAGCCGCAGAAAUCUGUGCUAAGGUAGCAUAAUCAUUUGUCUUCUAAUUAAAGACUAGAAUGAAUGGUCAAACGAAUAAAUAAUUUAACCCCUAUACCACAACUAAAUUACAUUUAAUGUAAAAAUACAUUAAUCACCAAAAAAGACGACAAGACCCUGUCGAACUUAACUAAAGUUAAACUGGGACAGUAUUUUUAUAACCAUUUUACAUUACUAUUUACUCAACUACCCUUAAAAUAAAAGAAAAAGUUACCGCAGGGAUAACAGCGCAAUUUAUUUCAAAAGCUCUUAUAUAAAAAUAAGAUUACGACCUCGAUGUUGAAUUAAUUAAUCAAAUAAACGCAAAACUUUAUAAGAAUGUCUGUUCGACACUUAAAUAAUUACAUGAUCUG